rnacentral:rRNA from 1 species
UUCCGGUUAAUCCUGCCGGAGGCUACCGCUAUUGGAGUUCGAUUAAGCCAUGCGAGUCGAGAGUCUUAGGGACUCGGCGUACCGCUCAGUAACACGUGGGUAACCUGCCCUAUGCUGGGGGAUAACCUCGGGAAACUGAGAAUAAUACCCCAUAGUUCACCACGCCUGGAACGGUGGGUGGAUGAAAGCUCCGGCGGCAUAGGAUGGGCCUGCGACGUAUCAGGUCGUAGGGGGUGUAACGUACCCUCUAGCCAUCAACGCGUACGGGUGUUGGGAGACAUAGCCCGGAGAUGGAUUCUGAGACACGAAUCCAGACCCUACGGGGUGCAGCAGGCGCGAAAACUUGGCAAUGCGAGCAAUCGUGACCAGGGAACUCCAAGUGGCUGGGGUAAUACCCAGUUUUUUCUUGACUCUUCAAAGGUCUUGGAAUAAGGGGUGGGUAAGGACGGUGCCAGCCGCCGCGGUAAUACCGGCGCCUCAAGUGGUAGUCGCUUUUAUUGGGCCUAAAACGUCCGUAGCCGGUCUGGUGCAUUCGUGGGUAAAUCAACCCGCUCAACGGGUUGAAUUCUGCGAGCACGGCCAGACUUGGGACCGGGAGAGGUGUGGGGUACUCUCAGGGU